UCCCAAAGGAAGCUCCUUCACCACCUCCUUCAGCAGCAAAUCCCUGGAGGCUUUGUUUCUCACCCAGGUCCCACCUAUCCCAUCCCUCAUCACACCCCACAUCUCCAGGACCCCUCAAAGAGCUGGAGAGAAGCACCCUGAGCCCAAACUGGGCCUUUGGACCUCCCCCAGGAGGAUUUUGGUGUUGCAGAUGGGCUGCCAUGUGCAUCCUUCACCUCCAGCCACCUCCUGAGGCCACCUCCCCCCUGGGUGAUGCUGAAGGGGACCCCAGAAACCUCCAAGCUUAUGUUCAGCUCAUCACAUAAUGAGAUCCCACCAGAGGAACCAUAUCCUGAUGCUUCCCAGACAGCCAAGGCCCCCAAAAUGCUCUGAGGAGGAGGAGGAGGAGAAGGAAGAGCAGCUUCCUCAGGUUUCCAGGAGGAAUUCCAGGAGGGAGAAGGUGAGGACAUCUGAGCUGGGGAACCUCCACCAGCCACGGAGAUGCUGAACCCAUUGCAGAACUUUUGGCAGCAGAGAAAACUCCUGGAGCAAGCAAACACCUCUCCAUGGCCCCUUCCCAUCAAACCAGGGAAUGGUUUGGGGUAAAAAGGACCUUCAAGACCACCCAGCUCCAACCUCCCUGCAUGGCCAGGGACCUCUCCCAUUGGACCAGGCUGCUCCAAACUUCUUUUAGAGAGUGGGAAAUGCCCCCAGCUCAAGCCUGGUGCUGCUCUCAAAGCUUCUUUUACUCGUGGCCAAUCCCCCUGCCAGCCCCAGGAGCUGCUCCUGCAGGAUGAGGAGGAUUGGGGGGUGGGAACUCAUCUGCAAGAGCUCUCAGGCUGCCAGCAGCAUUAGGGCAAUUUAUUGCCUGACCCCAGCUUGGAAAUGAAAUCUC